rnacentral:rRNA from 1 species
UACAGAGGUCUCAAGCGUUGUUCGGAUUCAUUGGGCGUAAAGGGUGCGUAGUCGGGCAUGUCAGUCCGUGGUGAAAUCUCCGAGCUUAACUCGGAAACUGCCAUGGAUACUAUGUGUCUUGAAUGUUGUGGAGGUGAGCGGAAUAUGUCAUGUAGCGGUGAAAUGCUUAGAUAUGACAUAGAACACCUAUUGCGAAGGCAGCUUACUACGCAGAUAUUGACGCUCAUGCACGAAAGCGUGGGGAUCAAACAGG